UAGUUGAGUUAUGCAGGGCUUUUGUGGAGUCCUUUUUUUUUUAAGUGACAUCAGAAACAGCAGCAUGUGACAUCACGUGAUGGCGGAGCUUCAGUUCAUCCUUUGUCAUCUUUUUUUUUUUUUUUUUAAUAGGACAGGGGGAAAGAAUGAAAGAAAGAGGGGGAGAGAAAGAAAGAAAACUAAAGGGGAGAAGAGACGUGUGUGGAACUGAGGUGCUUCAUCAGGAUCUCCUUCAGUUGUUGGAGGAUGGAGAAGAGGACGCAGCCAUGACUUGUGAGACGUCGUAGAGGCAGUAACAGGAGGGUUUUUGCAGCCUUCAUCAGAGUUUCACAAGCCAAUAGUUCGGCUGUUGCCUGGCCAGACCAUGUGCGUGACUGCCCAGCAGGUAACGUUGAGGUUUCAGUUGAUGGAAACCGCAAGCUUUAUCGCUUUCAGUCUAAUGCAAGUCAAACCGAGUAGGAGGUGGAGAGCCCUGAGGGAAAAAGUAAACGUGACAGACUGGAGGGCAGAAUUAAUCUUGUGUCUGGAUUUCUGUCGGGAAGAAAAAGAAAGGCGAACUGGGAAGCAAUAGGAAGGUGCCACUUUCGGGAAAAGCCCAGCAUAAUUCCUUCAAUAAGUUGUCGCCAACAUGAAUAUUGUGUGGAACUGAAGUAGUGAUGGCCAAAUGAAGCUUUCCGAAGCACUGAAGCUUGUAUUGAAAAACGGUUCAUUACUCGAAGCUUUUCAACACAGUCCUCUCCGGUGACAUCUGGUGGUGAAAAUUUUGAAGAGCAGCUUGAAUCUGCAAAAUAAAACGG
ensembl:lncRNA